GUUCUGCCGUGUGGAUUUCAACUCCCAGAAUUCCUCAGCCAACUUUGCUGGCUGAGGAAUUCUGGGAGUUGAAGUCCACAAGUCUUAAAGUUGCCAAGGUUGAGGACCCCUGUUCUAAAGAGAGGUCUAACCUAGAACUAAGGAAGAACUUCCUGAUAGGACAAUUUACCAGCCUGCCUCCAGAAGUUGUGGGCGCUCCAACACUGAAGGCUCUCAAGAAGGGACUGGACAGCCACUUGUCUGGGAUGGGACUGGUUCUCCUGCCUGAGCAGGGCGUUCAACUGGAACAAGGGUGCCCAACCUGUGGGCCAUGGAACGGCUGGAGACCGUAGUUAGCUAUAAAAGCAUAAUAAAACUCUACUGCUGCUACAAUGAGGUUUUCAAGAUUACCUACAGGCAAGAGAUCUGAAGCACCAUCCUUCUUUGCCUUCAUUCACCUAUAACAGCAAUUCUCAACCUUGGCCACUUGAGGAUAUGUGGACUGGCUGGGGAAUUCUGGGAGUUGAAGUCCACAUAGCUUCAAGUGGCCAUGUUUGAGAGACACUGGCUAUAAGAAAAUGGUCCCUUUUUCUUGGGCCUCAAAUUAGGGCCAAUUCCAAGGGACAUAACUGGAACUUCACAAACACGGCCUGAUUGGUUUCCAGCUUGUGCGAACAAGUUCUUCGCUGAACUAGAUAUAUGAUGAUAAAGGAGAAUUAAACCAAGUUUACUAAUCAGCUAAGUUGCACUCCAACUCCACCCAGCUUCUUGGAUUCAAAAAUCCAAUCCAAGGAUUGUGACCUUCACUAAAAAAAAUUUAUCCCUUCCUACGAAAUGGCAUUCAUUUUCCAUCAUAAUCACAAAGAAUCAUUCAACACAGCUGUUGAAAGUUAAAAGCAACUUGCAGUGUAAGUUGUCAUCAUUUAAAAAAAAUCAAAAUUAAUGGGAAUCAGCAAGUAGAAAACUGCUAAAAAUAAAAAUAAUUUUGAGGCCCAAGCAAAAGAAAAUCAGCUGAAAGGAGCAGACAAAGAUGCCCAUUUUUCAAACGAUAAUACAUUUAUAAGGGAACAUGUUUUAAAUUAAAAAAUUUUAAACAGCAUAAAAGUUUUCCUAAGGUGUUUUCUAAUGAAUCUGACAUAUUUAUUCAGCAAGCUUCCUCAAAGUAAUAUUAUGUUAUUUUCUAAAUUACGGUACCUCAACCUAAAUUGGGGAUGGGAGGGAGAAAAAUUGUAUUUGUCCAUCAAAUUAUUAUUUUUUUAUUCAUCACAUUUUUACACUGCGUAUCUUACCUAAAUAGCUCUGGGUAGUUUACAAUAAAAAAUUAUUACUGCAGAUUUGUCUAAAAAAA